UGAGGAAUAUUGGUCAAUGGGCGGGAGCCUGAACCAGCCAAGCCGCGUGGAGGAAGAAGGUACAGAGUAUCGUAAACUCCUUUUGUCAGGGGAUAAAAGGCGCCACGAGUGGCGUUCUGAAGGUACCUGAAGAAAAAGCAUCGGCUAACUCCGUGCCAGCAGCCGCGGUAAUACGGAGGAUGCGAGCGUUAUCCGGAUUUAUUGGGUUUAAAGGGUGCGUAGGCGGUCUUUUAAAGUCAGCGGUGAAAGCCCGGGGCUCAACCCCGGCGAGCCGUUGAUACUGGGAGACUGGAGAGGAAGAGAGGCAUGCGGAAUUCGCGGUGUAGCGGUGGAAAUGCCUAAGAUAUCGCGAAGAACUCCGAUUGCGAAGGCAGCAUGCUGGCUUCUGUCUGACGCUGAGGCACGAAAAGCGUGGGGAUCGAAACAGGAUUAGAUACC
rnacentral:rRNA from 1 species